AUUGACAAAAAAAUUAUGACAAAUUUGCUUUAAAAAAUUGUAAGUAGUUCAACUUUAUAGACAAGAAUUUCCUCUGCAUUUCACAACAUGUGCUAAUAUGUUCGACCAUACUAUUUUUGUAACGAAUUGGUGAUUUUUUUUUUUUUUUUAAAUUGUGUGCAUGUAUUCUUAAGUAAUUAUAAUGAAUAGUGAGUCAGUUGCAAAUUUGAUCGCUAAAAUACCGUGAAAUUUUAGUGCUUUGCGUAAACUCUGCAACACAGUAAAAUUUCAAACAAUGGAGAACCCUGAACAAGUAACAAGCUACUAAAACUACUAACGUCUGCUAAAUGUUGUGUGACGCGUCUAGUGUGUUGGUGUUAGUGUCUGUGUGCUUGUCACCUCUCGCUUUCAGCCAUCACCGCUGGCUAGCAGCAAUGCGAAAAGGGGGAAGAAAUUCUAAUGACUUCCCCUGCCAGUACAUAGCCUCUCCACAACAAGUCCUAUGCGAUGCCUCCACGUGGAAGCAGACGGAUACUGGGUAUCAUUUUGUCCCAGGCUAAGUUCGCAAGGACGCACGGGAAGAUGAGUCUCAAAAGCAUUGAGGAAUACUUUUAAGGCUGAACAGGAUCCUGAAGUGAGGAGGACUCCCUCUCUCAUUGAACUGCAUACAGCAGCAGAAAGCAGGAUUUCAGUUCCCCUUUGAUUCAGAAGAGGAACAACAAUGGAGGACCAAGGUCAUUAAUAUAAGAAGAGUCUAUUCCUGUCUGUGUUUUGCAGCAGAAGAAAGUUAAGACUGACUAGGAAUUCUAAGUGAGGAAGAGUCCCUUUCCCAUUCCGCUGCAGCCAUGAGGAGAAUACUCUAUUUUCAAGGAAUUUGACAAGGGAAGAGGACCAGUGCUGACCAAGUGAAGAAAAAGAAGAGUCUAUUGCCAAGCUUUGUACAGCAGCCAAUAUCUGAUUAAGGAGUGGGCAGACGGUUAUGCUGGCAUUGAUCCUGUUUCCAAAAGCAGAUCAACAUGAUUCCUCAAGACUCCAAAGAGAUCAACUAUGGGACCUGAAAAUAAAGGCAGACUGCCAUCAAUUUCAUGUUUCUUUGAUAGCAGACAAAUAUGCUUCAACAAUAGUGCAGAGAGUAAUUUAAGGUUUGGACUGCAAGUGAUGGACACACUAAAUAACUCAACUCAAAGAAUUCAAUGGAUAGUGCUGAGUACAUUAUUAUAUAUCUACAAAGUGAUGGGCACACUAAAUAGCUUAACUGACAGAAUUCAAUGGACCGUGCUGAGAACAUUGUUAUAUAUCUACAAAGUGAUGGACACACUAAAUAGCUUAACUGACAAAAUUCAAUGGACCGUGCUGAGUACAUUGUUAUCUACAAAGUGAUGGACACACUAAAUAGCUUAACUCACAGAAUCCAAUGGACAGAGUUGAGUAUGUACUAAUAUCUACAAAGUGAUGGACACAGUAAACAGCUUAAUUCUCAGGAUUCAGUGUACCAUGCUGAGUACAUAACUCAUUAAGGAUAACUCAUAUGACAUCCACAGCAGAUCACUCAAAGUUGUGUUACUACAUUAUUGUACAACUUUUCAUAUACUACGUUAUUUUUUCUGAAUGUUUUUUUUUGUAUCUGUAUAUUAUAUUUUUUAAUUUAAAAAAGUUAAAGAUUGGAUUUUUAAGCAAAAAUAUCAAGAGAGGUAAAUCAGUGCUUGUCUGAAUAUCUAAGCUUAAGAGAAAGGGAGGUAAUUUUUUUUAUUGUGAAUCCUUGUCCAGAGCAUAUGCUUUCUCCCCUUGGUCCAAUGUGGCUAAUACUUCUCUCACAGAGUGCCACUGGUCAAUGGAUGUGUAGUGACCUUGAACAAAGUUUCUAGGCCAAGAGUCAAGGUUAAAACCCCUUUCAGCUACUUUACAUUUUUAUGUUCAUUGCUGAAAGUGGGACCCUUUGAGAUGGCCACCAUCUCAAUGAUAUCUAAUUUUAGUUUGAAAAUUGCUAGAAAAGAUAAAGUGAUCUCAUUGUAACAUUAUUAUUUUUUAGUGUUUUAGAUUAUAAAUAAAUAUAACAAUAUGCAAAA